CCGUACACAAAAGCGCAUGUGCUGUGAGCUCGAUGAGUAGGGCGGGACACGUGGUAUCCUGUCUGAAUAUGGGGGGACCAUCCUCCAAGGCUAAAUACUCCUGACUGACCGAUAGUGAACCAGUACCGUGAGGGAAAGGCGAAAAGAACCCCGGCGAGGGGAGUGAAAAAGAACCUGAAACCGUGUACGUACAAGCAGUGGGAGCACAGGUUUACCUGUGUGACUGCGUACCUUUUGUAUAAUGGGUCAGCGACUUAUAUUCUGUAGCAAGGUUAACCGUAUAGGGGAGCCGGAGGGAAACCGAGUCUUAAUUGGGCGUUAAGUUGCAGGGUAUAGACCCGAAACCCGGUGAUCUAGCCAUGGGCAGGUUGAAGGUUGGGUAACACUAACUGGAGGACCGAACCGACUAAUGUUGAAAAAUUAGCGGAUGACCUGUGGCUGGGGGUGAAAGGCCAAUCAAACCGGGAGAUAGCUGGUUCUCCCCGAAAGCUAUUUAGGUAGCGCCUCGUGAAUUCAUCUCCGGGGGUAGAGCACUGUUUCGGCUAGGGGGCCAUCCCGGCUUACCAACCCGAUGCAAACUGCGAAUACCGGAGAAUGUUAUCACGGGAGACACACGGCGGGUGCUAACGUCCGUCGUGAAGAGGGAAACAACCCAGACCGCCAGCUAAGGUCCCAAAGUCAUGGUUAAGUGGGAAACGAUGUGGGAAGGCCCAGACAGCCAGGAUGUUGGCUUAGAAGCAGCCAUCAUUUAAAGAAAGCGUAAUAGCUCACUGGUCGAGUCGGCCUGCGCGGAAGAUGUAACGGGGCUAAACCAUGCACCGAAGCUGCGGCAGCGAACGUAUCACCCAAGACAACUUUACGGAGUUGACGAUUGACGGAGCGAAGCGACGUCAAAGCGUUCAUUAAAGUCGAGUUGGCUUAGGGAUACGUUCGUUGGGUAGGGGAGCGUUCUGUAAGCCUGUGAAGGUGUGUCGUGAGGCAUGCUGGAGGUAUCAGAAGUGCGAAUGCUGACAUAAGUAACGAUAAAGCGGGUGAAAAGCCCGCUCGCCGGAAGACCAAGGGUUCCUGUCCAACGUUAAUCGGGGCAGGGUGAGUCGACCCCUAAGGCGAGGCCGAAAGGCGUAGUCGAUGGGAAACGGGUUAAUAUUCCCGUACUUGGUGUUACUGCGAAGGGGGGACGGAGAAGGCUAUGUUGGCCGGGCGACGGUUGUCCCGGUUUAAGCGUGUAGGUGUGUGUUCCAGGUAAAUCCGGUUCACUUUAACACUGAGGCGUGACGACGAGGCACUACGGUGCUGAAGCAACAAAUGCCCUGCUUCCAGGAAAA
rnacentral:rRNA from 3 species